UAGCUUUUUUCUUAGUUAAACUUUUUUUAAGUUUAACCAAGUUUGUAGAAAACACAUGGUGAUAUCUUCGACAUACAAUCAAAAUAUACUCAAUCUUAAGAUUUAAUGAGACUAAUUUGAUGUUGUAGAUGUUGCUAUAUUUUUCAAUAAACUUGAUCAAACUUAAAAAAAGUUUGGCUUAGGAAAAAGUCAA
rnacentral:pre_miRNA from 1 species